GACGAACGCUGGCGGCGUGCUUAACACAUGCAAGUCGAACGUGAUUUUUGUGGAAAUUCUUUCGGGAAUGGAAAUGAAAUGAAAGUGGCGAACGGGUGAGUAACACGUGAGCAACCUACCUUACACAGGGGGAUAGCCGUUGGAAACGACGAUUAAUACCGCAUGAGACCACAGAAUCGCAUGAUAUAGGGGUCAAAGAUUUAUCGGUGUAAGAAGGGCUCGCGUCUGAUUAGCUAGUUGGAAGGGUAAAGGCCUACCAAGGCGACGAUCAGUAGCCGGUCUGAGAGGAUGAACGGCCACAUUGGAACUGAGACACGGUCCAAACUCCUACGGGAGGCAGCAGUGGGGAAUAUUGCACAAUGGGGGGAACCCUGAUGCAGCGACGCCGCGUGAGCGAAGAAGGUUUUCGAAUCGUAAAGCUCUGUCCUAUGAGAAGAUAAUGACGGUAUCAUAGGAGGAAGCCCCGGCUAAAUACGUGCCAGCAGCCGCGGUAAUACGUAUGGGGCGAGCGUUGUCCGGAAUUAUUGGGCGUAAAGGGUACGUAGGCGGUUUUUUAAGUCAGGUGUGAAAGCGUGAGGCUUAACCUCAUUAAGCACUUGAAACUGGAAGACUUGAGUGAAGGAGAGGAAAGUGGAAUUCCUAGUGUAGCGGUGAAAUGCGUAGAUAUUAGGAGGAAUACCGGUGGCGAAGGCGACUUUCUGGACUUUUACUGACGCUCAGGUACGAAGGCGUGGGGAGCAAACAGG
rnacentral:rRNA from 1 species